rnacentral:lncRNA from 10 species
UGAAGCGCGAGCUGCGCUCGCCGCGGGGAUCUCCGGUCCGGGGGCGAUGUUUAGACCUCGUGCCGGGCCCCGGGCGCCGAGGGCACCGUGGCAUGCAACCCCUGCAACGGUAUCGCCCGCGCCGUGCAGUUGACGAAAUUGAGGUUCGGCUUGGUCGCUUAACCAGCCAAAGGAUGACCAACUCUUGGAUGAUGGCAAGACACUGGGCGAGUGUGGCUUCACCAGUCAAACAGCACGGCCACAGGCCCCAGCCACAGUGGGGCUGGCCUUCCGGGCAGAUGACACCUUUGAGGCCCUGUGCAUCGAGCCGUUUUCCAGCCCGCCAGAGCUGCCCGAUGUGAUGAAGCCCCAGGACUCGGGAAGCAGUGCCAAUGAACAAGCCGUGCAGUGAGGACCCCCAAGAGGCCCAUUUCCCCCAAUAAAAGAGAUUUGGGAGUC